rnacentral:rRNA from 1 species
AAAUAAUUAAGUUAUUUGAUUUGACUAGAUAUGAAGAUCAAUUAAAAAGUUAAAGAUUAUUGGCGGUGUUUUGUUAUAUUCUGAGAAUCUUGCUAGAUUAAAAUGAUAUUGCACAAUUUAUCUUAUCUUAAUUAUUUGGUUUAUGUAUUGCUGUUUAAUUUAUUAUUUAUUAUAAGUUUUAAAUAAAUUUUGUUUGUUUUUAGCAAAAAAUUCAAGUCAAAAUGUAGUAAUAUUAAGGUUUUAGUGAGUUGCUUUUUUCUAGAUAGUAUAGUAUUUAGAAAACAUGAAGAUGUUUUUAAAGUGUGGAUUAGGUAGUAAAAAAAAAGUAGUUAGUUUUUUUGAUAAAAUUUUCAUUCAUGU